GUGCGUGUAGAUUAUUUUAGUUUAGAUCGUAAGGCUGUUAACUUUAAGGAGGUAUUUAUGCUCACGGACG
rnacentral:tRNA from 2 species